rfam:Triticum aestivum genome assembly, contig: Triticum_aestivum_CS42_TGACv1_scaffold_404360_5BL
AUUAUACUCCCUCCGUUCCAAAAUUCUUGUCUUAGAUUUGUCUAGAUAUGGACAUACGUCCGUAUCUAGACAAAUCUAAGACAAAAUUUUUGAAACGGAUGGAGUAGAAU